rnacentral:misc_RNA from 1 species
AACGCACAUUGCGCCCGCCAGCAUUCUGGCGGGCAUGCCUGUCCGAGCGUCAUUUCAACCCUCAAGCGCUGCUUGGCGUUGGGGCGCUACCCCCCUUUUUUCGCGGGGGGUAGGCCCCGAAAUACAGUGGCGAGGUCGCCCGGACCCCGAGCGCAGUAGCACUGACAACCACGCUCAGGGAGUCCGGACCGGCGUCUGCCCGUCCAAAUGAGACACUCAAAGGUUGACCUCGGAUCAGGUAGGAAUACCCGCUGAACUUAA